rnacentral:tRNA from 1 species
UCCCCGGUGGCUCAGACGGUAAAGAAUCUGCCUGAAAUGCAGCUGACCCAGGUUCGAUCCCUGGGUUGGGAA